rnacentral:rRNA from 1 species
GGGCAAGCGUUGUUCGGAAUUAUUGGGCGUAAAGGGCGCGUAGGCGGUUUGACAAGUCUGAUGUGAAAUCUAUGGGCUCAACCCAUAGCCUGCAUUAGAAACUGUCGGGCUUGAGUAUGGGAGAGGUGAGUGGAAUUUCCGGUGUAGCGGUGAAAUGCGUAGAUAUCGGAAGGAACACCUGUGGCGAAAGCGGCUCACUGGACCAUAACUGACGCUGAGGCGCGAAAGCUAGGGGAGCAAACAGG